AAGGCAAAUCCAUAGACACAGAAAGUAGAUUAGCAGUUGCCAGGGCUGGUGAGGCAGGGGAGGCAGGCUAGGGGGAAAUGUGGAGGGACUGCUAAUGGGUGCAGGGUUUCUUUUAGGGGUGAUGAAAAUGUUCUAAAAUUAAUUGUGGGCCGGGCACCGUGGCUCACACCUGUAAUGCCAGCACUUUGAGAGAGGUCGAGGCGGGCAGAUCACUUGAGGUCAGGAGAUCGAGACCAUCCUGGCUAACACGGUGAAACCCCAUCUCC
rnacentral:lncRNA from 1 species